rnacentral:rRNA from 1 species
UACGGAGGGUGCAAGCGUUGCUCGAAUUUACUGGGCGUAAAGCGCACGCAGGCGGAAUGAAGGGUCGGAUGUGAAAGCCCGGGGCUCAACUCCGGAAUUGCAUUCGAAACCGCCAUUCUAGAGUACGGGAGAGGGAAGUGGAAUUCCUGGUGUAGAGGUGAAAUUCGUAGAUAUCAGGAGGAACACCGGUGGCGAAAGCGGCUUCCUGGCCCGAUACUGACGCUCAUGUGCGAAAGCGUGGGGAGCAAACAGG